rnacentral:lncRNA from 1 species
GUAGAAAGAUUAAAAUGUGCAAGUUCGUCAUUAAGAAGAAUUCUAUUCUCUCCAUCAUUCGCGGAGUUCAUUUCUACAAAUGGAUCCUCUGAUAUGAUGGAAGAAGAUGUUGUGUCAAACCUUGCAGUGCGUAUUAAGCUAAGAUUGACAGUUUGGGAAUUUAUUAUUCCAGUGACUCCAUCACUCCCCGCUGUCAUCGGCGUCUCUGAUACUGUAAUCGAGGAUCGUUUUGGUGUUGAACAUGGAAGUGAAAAGUGGUACGAGAAACUGGAUCUUCAUUUCAAGUGGCUUCUUCAGUAUCGGAUCAGUCCAUACUUCUGCAAAUGGGGUGAAAAUAUGCGUGUCUUGACAUACACCUCACCAUGGCCUGGUAUUGCAAUUGUUAUGCACCAUCUAAUUAUUUUGCUUCAGAUUCUAAUAAGUUCACCAUUUGCAUUCCACUUUUUUUGGUUUCGCAGCCGAUCAUCCCAAGUCUGAUGAAUAUUUCUCUGAUCCAAGGCUUGCGGCUUAUGCAGUACCUUAUAGACAAGUUAUAGCAGGGUAUGCAUGUGCUGUCCCAGUCAAACUUCUUAUAAGUGUUGUAGGUACCCAAACUAUAACUUUUGUUGAUGUGCAAGCAGGGAUGAUUCAAGGGAAAUUUACCUGCGGAAAGAAGUUGAGAUAUUGAGGAGUAAACCCCACUGGAAUAAAGCUUACUUUUACUUGUGGGAUGAGGUAUCUUAGUUCCCACUGAUUUAUCAAUAGGCCGAUGGUGGUGUCUCUUAGCAUUUGUGUAUCUCAUGUUCCACCACAGGUGUAAUUGAUGUGUUCUUUUAGUUGAGGUUUACUUAUUGACAGCUUUCUUAUUACCAUUCGAAAAUUUGGCAGCCACUGAAUAUGGAUCACUUUCAUAACGUUCGCAAGAUGGCUAGUGAAAUUUACGCCUAUGCCCCGGAUGCCCGGGUUUUGACUACUUACUACUGUGGUAUGAUUCCCUUUUUGUUUCUUGAUUUCUCGAUUUUACAUACGUUUUCCCACAUAAUGUGUUUGUUCAACCCAUAAUGUUAGGUCAUUGUGUAGAGCUAAAUAUUAUUUACGCACUCGUCAUGUUGGUCCACUGGUCUCAUUACAGCACUUACGGUUAUUUUACAAUGGUUCAGCUACUCAGAAAUUGUAUUUAUCUAUCUGUAGGUCCGGGUGAUGCGCCUCUUGCACCAACGCCCUUUGAAUCUUUUGUCAAAGUUCCAAAUCUGCUUCGACCCCAUACUCAGAUAUACUGCACAAGGUAAUUGCGCAUGCACCAUUCUCUUAGGUGGCAGUGGUUUGAUCAUUCAGACAAAUUGCCUUCUCUUACAUGGGUUUGUGGCUUAAUUAGUUGUCAAGAUCUUAACCUCACCAAUCUAUCAUUUAAUCAAAAAGUAACCUCUUUUUUUUUGAGCAAAUACAUUUUUGAUCUUAAAAUUGCCAACCGUAUCACUCCGAUUACCUAUUUGGAUAGACAUGCAUGUGAGUUUAUUAUAUUCAUCUAUGAGUUAGGAUUUCAGAUGCGUUUUCAGGAAUAUUUAGAGAAAUCUGUUUACUACUAGUUAGUCCAUCGUUGCCUUAAUCCCGCAACACAGUCUUAAAAUAUGGUUUAAUAUUCAGUGAAUGGGUGCUUGGUAACCGGGAAGAUUUGGUGAAAGAUAUUGUGGAGGGAUUGCAGUUAGAGAAUCGUGAGGUAAGCUCUCUCUGAUCCUUUGUCUACACUAGUCUAUGUUACUCAUUUGUCUAAUCAAUAUUGCGUAACUGAAUAGAAAUCUAAUAACCAUAAUCAUCAUCAUUUUAAGUAUAGAUUUCGGUCAGUUUUUAACCAUACGCAAAACAGUUAAUUAAUUAUUAUCAUAAGCUCCCAAAAGGUGUACACAUGCAUAUGCAUACAUUCAGGCAUUAUCAUAAUCAACUAAGCCAUCUUAAUGCUACUCUUCUUGUGUGGUUUAUAUAUGAAUGUAUUUGCAAUGGGAACCAUAAAGAGGAAUUCUCAUGAUGGGUGCAGGAAUGGUGGACAUACAUAUGCCUUGGACCUACAGAUCCUCACCCAAAUUGGCACUUAGGGAUGCGUGGGACGCAGCACCGUGCAGUGAUGUGGCGUGUGUGGAAAGAAGGUGGAACGGGGUUCUUGUACUGGGGUGCAAACUGCUAUGAGAAGGCAACCGUUCCAAGCGCUGAGGUUCGUCUGACCUAUGGUACCUUUUGUAAAUGUUUCUUGAUUGAUUGCUUCAGGAAGUUAUAUGAAACAACCAAACAUAUUUAUAGGUAAGGUUUAGGCGCGGCCUUCCUCCUGGUGAUGGUGUUCUUUACUACCCGGGUGAAGUUUUCUCAUCAUCCUCAGAGCCAGUUGCUUCACUUAGGCUUGAGCGUCUUCUUAGUGGCUUACAGGUAUGGCUGCUUUAAGCUUUUAGUUACCAACCAGAAAGAAAGAAAGAAGAAUUGUGUUCAAAUUGAUGUAAUGGAACAGGAUUAUGAGUACUUGAAGCUGUACGAGUCAAAAUACGGAAGAGAGGAAGCAAUGGGGCUAUUGGAGAAGACAGGGGUGUACAUGGGGCCUGAGCGAUACACUUUGGAACAUAGACCAAUCGAUGUAUUGCGGGGAGAAGUGUACAACGCAUGUAGACCUUCUUAGAGUAAUGUUAUGAGAACGUUUUUGUAUCUACUACCUAUACAGACGCUUCGUCGAUUACGCCUACUUUAUAAUAUAAUAUAUAGAACAAGAAUAAAGUCUUAGAAAAAUCCAGUUUGUUCACCGCGGUGUAGCGCGGGUGUUGGCCUAGUUACAUACUAAAAUCAGAGUAGUCCAGUUGUUAAGCGAUGAUGAUUAAUAUGGAAACAUGUGUUCGAUUUUACAUUGAUGCGGGUUUUAUUUCCGUUACAAAAAAAACAUUCUAAAACUACAUGUCAGUUGAUAUAGAACAAAAUUUACAAAAGAACUGGAUCAGAGACAAGAUGACUGAAUAAAGAGAAGAUCAACUUCAUUAUCUGAAUCUGAUCCAGAGAUGGAUAAUCCCCUUUAUGUUCUAAUCUUUGGACAAUAAAAGUAAUAUUUAAAUGGUAAGUUAACAAAAAAAUGUUUUUGUGGGUGGAUUACAUGUCAGUUGUUAUAGAACAAAAUUUACAAAAGAACGGGCUCAUAGACAAGUAACUGAAUAAAGAGAAUAUCAACUUCAUUAUCUUAAUCUGAUCUAGAGAUGGAUAAUCGAUCCCUUAAAAGUUUUUUAUUUCCAAACAACCAAAAUAAAAAUAACCUAAAAUAGUAUAAUAAAAAAGACAACUCUAGUGGACCAAAAAAUGCUCUCUUCUCUCAGAUUUUUUAAUUUUUCUGUUCUAAUCUUUGGACAAUAAAAGUAAUAUUAAAAAUGCUAAUUUAACAACAAAAUGUGUUUGUGGGUGGAUUAGAUGGAAAAUAUAAUUAUUUUGUGUAAUCUUUUUUUUUUGUGUAAUCAUUACUGCAAAAAUACUAGAAUAGUGCAAAAGGAAAGGAAGGAGUUGAGAAGAGGGAGGGAGUUAAAGGUACUUUUCGGGCAGAGAGUAAACAAAAGCGGGGACGUUACUUAUUACGUGUUGAAGCUUCAGUAAAUCUCCAACAACGCGAUCCUCUCUUCUCUUCUCCUCAACAAGAAGAAGAAGCGAUUCAAAUGGACAGCAACAAUGGUACGAUUCAAUUCGCUCUUCUUUACUUUACCCCCCAAUCUCGACUUCCUUCGUCUGCGAUUAGAUAAAUUGUUUGAGAAACGAAUUUGGGAAGUCAAUUUUACACAAGUUUCCUUCUAAUUAACUCUUAUCUAAGAAGAAGAUUAAAUAAGUGGAAAUUAGGUUGAAAUUAGCUUUUACAGAUCAAUAAAAUUGUGUAGGGACUCAAGAGAUGAGUGUGCCUGUAGAAGGGGUUGCUGGUGGAGGCACAGCUUACGGGUUUAACGACGGCGGUCUUAAUACACAACCUCUUAAACAAUCUACGGACCCCACAGAGGUUCCUACUUCUGACUUGGUUCACGUCUGGUGUAUCCCCAAUACUCUUAACGUCGGUUCCCAAGAAACGCCUCGACCUCUAGAAACUGUAUAACCCUUCUUCUUUUCAGCUAUUUCUAGUUCACCUUUCGUGUGAAAUGACAUUUGUGAUUUGUGUUUCUACAGAUAAAUCUUUUGGCAGCUAGAAACGAGAGAGAAAGUUUUCAAAUUGCCAUGCGUCCCAAAGUUUCUUGGGCUGGUUCUACCCCUUCUGGGAGUGUUCAGGUUCAGUGCAGUGACUUAUGCUCUUCAGCUGGGGACAGGUGCGUGAGCCUUUGCUACCUUCCCUUUUCUCCGAACAGCGGCUUAAGAAACCGAACGUUUCAAUGGAUAUUUUGAGAUGGAUUCUUCACUUUGCUGUCUAUAUGAUUGUUUUCUUCCUUUCAAUGACAGAUUGGUUGUUGGCCAGUCCCUAAAGUUGCGGCGAGUGGUGCCUGUCUUAGGUGUUCCUGACGCUCUGGUGCCUCUUGAUUUGCCUCUUACUCAACUUAGCUUACUUCCAGGGUACUACCCACUCGCUAAUCUUAUUUCUUACUUAAUUCGUUAAAGACUGAUAUAAUCUCGGAUGUUCCAUAUUGUAGAGAAACAAGUGUGAUUUGGGUCUCAAUAGACGUUCCUAAUGGGCAGCCUCCUGGUCAAUAUGAAGGAGAGAUUACUGUUUCUGCAAUGAAGACGGAUGGAGGGUGAGUCUCCCUUUGUUUUUCUUUUCUUUUAUCUACUUUAGGAGGAAAAUGAUAACUUGUUUCUCAUGGAUUUGACGCGCUUAUGCCCAAAUUUUGUGGUUGGUUACAGCUGUUCUGAUAACUUGGGAAAGCAUGAGAAGGAUCAGCUAUGUGUGGAACUCAAGAACUGUCUGGAUAUUAUGGAACCGAUAGAAGGAAAACCCAUGGACGAAGUGGUAAUUUUCAGUUUGCUUCUGUUUUUGUUGAGCUCAUCCCCUUGGAUAAAUAUUUUACUUGUCAGUAAUCUGCAGCUUGUCUUUUAGGUAGAAAGAAUAAAAUGUGCAAGUUCGUCAUUAAGAAGAAUUCUAUUCUCUCCAUCAUUCGCGGAGUUCAUUUCUACAAAUGGAUCCUCUGAUAUGAUGGAAGAAGAUGUUGUGUCAAACCUUGCAGUGCGUAUUAAGCUAAGAUUGACAGUUUGGGAAUUUAUUAUUCCAGUGACUCCAUCACUCCCCGCUGUCAUCGGCGUCUCUGAUACUGUAAUCGAGGAUCGUUUUGGUGUUGAACAUGG